UUUCAGCAGUAUUAAAGUGCUUAUAGUGCAGGUAGUCAUAUUUUUCUCUACUGCAGUAUGAGCACUUGAAGUACUUCUAGAU
rnacentral:pre_miRNA from 14 species